GAUGAAGAACGCAGCGAAAUGCGAUAAAUAAUGUGAAUUGCAGAAUUCAGUGAAUCAUCGAAUCUUUGAACGCACAUUGCGCCCCCUGGUAUUCCGGGGGGCAUGCCUGUCCGAGCGUCAUUACAACCCUCAAGCUCAGCUUGGUGUUGGGCCCCGCCGCCCCGGCGGGCCCUAAAGUCAGUGGCGGUGCCGUCCGGCUCCGAGCGUAGUAAUUCUUCUCGCUCUGGAGGCCCGGUCGUGUGCUCGCCAGCAACCCCCAAUUUUUUUCAGGUUGACCUCGGAUCAGGUAGGGAUACCCGCUGAACUUAAGCAUAUCAAUAAGCGGAGGA
rnacentral:misc_RNA from 1 species